CCUACGGGUGGCAGCAGUGAGGAAUAUUGGUCAAUGGACGAGAGUCUGAACCAGCCAAGUAGCGUGAAGGAUGACUGCCCUAUGGGUUGUAAACUUCUUUUAUAUGGGAAUAAAAUGUUCCACGUGUGGGAUUUUGUAUGUACCAUAUGAAUAAGGAUCGGCUAACUCCGUGCCAGCAGCCGCGGUAAUACGGAGGAUCCGAGCGUUAUCCGGAUUUAUUGGGUUUAAAGGGAGCGUAGGUGGAUUGUUAAGUCAGUUGUGAAAGUUUGCGGCUCAACCGUAAAAUUGCAGUUGAAACUGGCAGUCUUGAGUACAGUAGAGGUGGGCGGAAUUCGUGGUGUAGCGGUGAAAUGCUUAGAUAUCACGAAGAACUCCGAUUGCGAAGGCAGUUCACUGGACUGCAACUGACACUGAGGCUCGAAAGUGUGGGUAUCAAACAGGAUUAGAUACACUUGUAGUC
rnacentral:rRNA from 1 species